UACGGAGGAUCCGAGCGUUAUCCGGAUUUAUUGGGUUUAAAGGGUGCGCAGGCGGAAGAUUAAGUCGGUGGUGAAAUUUUGCAGCUCAACUGUAAAAGUGCCUUCGAAACUGGUUUCCUUGAGUGUAGAUGAAGUAGGCGGAAUUUGUGGUGUAGCGGCGAAAUGCAUAGAUAUCACGAGGAACUCCGAUUGCGCAGGCAGCUUACUAAACUACUACUGACGCUCAGGCACGAAGGCGUGGGGAUCAAACAGGAUUAGAUACCUGUGUA
rnacentral:rRNA from 1 species